rnacentral:rRNA from 1 species
AUUGAACGCUGGCGGCAUGCUUUACACAGGCAAGUCGAACGGUAACAGGCCGCAAGGUGCUGACGAGUGGCGAACGGGUGAGUAAUGCCUCGGAACGUGCCCAGUCGUGGGGGAUAACGCAGCGAAAGCUGUGCUAAUACCGCAUACGAUCUAUGGAUGAAAGCGGGGGACCGUAAGGCCUCGCGCGAUGGAGCGGCCGACGUCAGAUUAGGUAGUUGGGGGGGUAAAGCCUACCAAGCCGACGAUCUGUAGCUGGUCUGAGAGGACGACCAGCCACACUGGGACUGAGACACGGCCCAGACUCCUACGGGAGGCAGCAGUGGGGAAUUUUGGACAAUGGGCGCAAGCCUGAUCCAGCAAUGCCGCGUGCAGGAAGAAGGCCUUCGGGUUGUAAACUGCUUUUGUACGGAACGAAACGGUCUGGGUUAAUACCCUGGGCUAAUGACGGUACCGUAAGAAUAAGCACCGGCUAACUACGUGCCAGCCGCCGCCGUAACAC